GAUGAACGCUGACGGCGUGCCUAAUACAUGCAAGUCGAGCGAACAGACGAGGAGCUUACUUCUCUGACGUUAGCGGCGGACGGGUGAGUAACACGUGGAUAACCUACCUAUAAGACUGGGAUAACUUCGGGAAACCGGAGCUAAUACCGGAUAAUAUUUUGAACCGCAUGGUUCAACAGUGAAAGACGGUCUUGCUGUCACUUAUAGAUGGAUCCGCGUUGCAUUAGCUAGUUGGUAAGGUAACGGCUUACCAAGGCAACGAUGCGUAGCCGACCUGAGAGGGUGAUCGGCCACACUGGAACUGAGACACGGUCCAGACUCCUACGGGAGGCAGCAGUAGGGAAUCUUCCGCAAUGGGCGAAAGCCUGACGGAGCAACGCCGCGUGAGUGAAGAAGGUCUUCGGAUCGUAAAACUCUGUUAUUAGGGAAGAACAAAUGUGUAAGUAACUAUGCACGUCUUGACGGUACCUAAUCAGAAAGCCACGGCUAACUACGUG
rnacentral:rRNA from 1 species